UACGUCACUGAUAAAAGCCCACAGUGGCUCAUUAUUUGACCAGCACUUAGCCUUGAACAGACAGAACUGGGCCUUUUGUCACAAACGUCUUCUAAUGGCGCCGAGGUGGGACUAAACUGAUGGGAAAUAGGUUAACUUCAGACUCUUCUGAGCAGGGUGACAGGACUUAAAAUGGACUGGUUCCACUGUAACAAGUGCUUCAUGAAGACUGGGUCGGCGUUUGUUGUAUCCAGCUGUGGCCACAUCUGCUGUGAGGCAUGCAUUAAAUCUAAGCAGUGCAGCAUAUGUGGGGCCAGCUGCAGUUAUCUGCCCAUCACUGAUAAGAUGAAGCCACAGGAAAAGGUUUUUUUCAAAGAUCCUGUGAAGCUCAUCCAGUCACAGAUGGAGCACAUAUCACAGGUUUGUCUCCUCUGUGCAGCGU